rnacentral:rRNA from 1 species
CCAGUACCGUGAGGGAAAGGUGAAAAGCACCCCGGGAGGGGAGUGAAAUAGAACCUGAAACCGUGUGCCUACAAGUAGUUAGAGCCCGUUAAUGGGUGAUAGCGUGCCUUUUGUAGAAUGAACCGGCGAGUUACGAUUACGUGCAAGGUUAAGUUCGAGAAGACGGAGCCGUAGCGAAAGCGAGUCUGAAUAGGGCGUAUUAAGUACGUGGUCGUAGACCCGAAACCAGGUGAUCUACCCAUGUCCAGGGUGAAGGUGAGGUAACACUCACUGGAGGCCCGAACCCACGCACGUUGAAAAGUGCGGGGAUGAGGUGUGGGUAGCGGAGAAAUUCCAAUCGAACUUGGAGAUAGCUGGUUCUCUCCGAAAUAGCUUUAGGGCUAGCCUCGUGAUUAAGAAUACUGGAGGUAGAGCACUGUUUGGACUAGGGGCCCAUCUCGGGUUACCGAAUUCAGACAAACUCCGAAUGCCAGAUAUUUAUACACGGGAGUCAGACUGCGAGUGAUAAGAUCCGUAGUCAAAAGGGAAACAGCCCAGACCACCAGCUAAGGUCCCAAAGUAAUCGUUAAGUGGAAAAGGAUGUGGCGUUGCUUAGACAACCAGGAUGUUGGCUUAGAAGCAGCCAUCAUUUAAAGAGUGCGUAAUAGCUCACUGGUCGAGUGACGCUGCGCCGAAAAUGUAUCGGGGCUAAACGAUUCACCGAAGCUGUGGAUGGACAUCUUUGAUGUCCGUGGUAGGAGAGCGUUCUAAGGGCGUUGAAGUCAGACCGGAAGGACUGGUGGAGCGCUUAGAAGUGAGAAUGCCGGUAUGAGUAGCGAAAGAUGGGUGAGAAUCCCAUCCACCGUAUGACUAAGGUUUCCUGAGGAAGGCUCGUCCGCUCAGGGUUAGUCGGGACCUAAGUCGAGGCCGACAGGCGUAGACGAUGGACAACAGGUUGAUAUUCCUGUACCACCUCCCCGCCGUUUGAGUAAUGGGGGGACGCAGUAGGAUAAGGUAAGCGCGCUGUUGGAUAUGCGCGCCCAAGCAGUAAGGCGUGGAAGUAGGCAAAUCCGCUUCCUAAUACGCCAAGCUGUGAUGGGGAGCUCUUAUGAGCGAAGUACCUGAUUUCACGCUGCCAAGAAAAGCCUCUAGCGAGGCGGGAGGUGCCCGUACCGCAAACCGACACAGGUAGUCGAGGAGAGAAUCCUAAGGUGUGCGAGAGAACUCUCGUUAAGGAACUCGGCAAAAUGACCCCGUAACUUCGGGAGAAGGGGUGCUCUCGUGAGAGAGCCGCAGUGAAUAGGCCCAGGCGACUGUUUAGCAAAAACACAGGUCUCUGCAAAACCGUAAGGUGACGUAUAGGGGCUGACGCCUGCCCGGUGCUGGAAGGUUAAGAGGAGGGGUUAGCAUUAGCGAAGCUCUGAAUUGAAGCCCCAGUAAACGGCGGCCGUAACUAUAACGGUCCUAAGGUAGCGAAAUUCCUUGUCGGGUAAGUUCCGACCCGCACGAAAGGCGUAACGAUCUGGGCACUGUCUCAACGAGAGACUCGGUGAAAUUAUAGUACCUGUGAAGAUGCAGGUUACCCGCGACAGGACGGAAAGACCCCGUGGAGCUUUACUGUAGCCUGAUAUUGAAUUUUGGCACAACUUGUACAGGAUAGGUAGGAGCCAGAGAACUCGGAGCGCCAGCUUCGAGGGAGGCGUCGGUGGGAUACUACCCUGGUUGUGUUGAAAUUCUAACCCAUACCCCUUAGCGGGGUAGGAGACAGUGUCAGGUGGACAGUUUGACUGGGGCGGUCGCCUCCUAAAAGGUAACGGAGGCGCCCAAAGGUUCCCUCAGAAUGGUUGGAAAUCAUUCGUAGAGUGUAAAAGGCACAAGGGAGCUUGACUGCGAGACCUACAAGUCGAGCAGGGUCAAA